rnacentral:rRNA from 1 species
UACGGAGGGGGCUAGCGUUGUUCGGAAUUACUGGGCGUAAAGCGCACGUAGGCGGCUUUGUAAGUUAGAGGUGAAAGCCCGGGGCUCAACCCCGGAACUGCCUUUAAGACUGCAUCGCUUGAACGUCGGAGAGGUGAGUGGAAUUCCGAGUGUAGAGGUGAAAUUCGUAGAUAUUCGGAAGAACACCAGUGGCGAAGGCGGCUCACUGGCCGGUACUGAUGCUGAGGUGCGAAAGCGUGGGGAGCAAACGGAUUAGAAC